GGGAAAUUUUCCGCAAUGGGCGAAAGCCUGACGGAGCAAUACCGCGUGAGGGAGGAAGGCUCUUGGGUUGUAAACCUCUUUUCUCAGGGAAGAAAAAAAUGACGGUACCUGAGGAAUAAGCAUCGGCUAACUCCGUGCCAGCAGCCGCGGUAAUACGGAGGAUGCAAGCGUUAUCCGGAAUGAUUGGGCGUAAAGGGUCCGCAGGUGGCAUUGUAUGUCUGCUGUUAAAGAGUUUGGCUCMACCMVAUYAAAGCAGUGGAAACUACAAAGCUAGAGUAUGGUCGGGGCAGAGGGAAUUCCUGGUGUAGCGGUGAAAUGCGUAGAUAUCAGGAAGAAC
rnacentral:rRNA from 1 species